GGCAUGUAACAGCCAGCAGCCAAUGGAUAUCAAGGCAUGUAACAGCCAGCAGCCAAUGGAUAUCAAGGCAUGUAACAGCCAGCAGCCAAUGGAUAUCAAGGCAUGUAACAGCCAACAGCCAAUGGAUAUCAAGGCAUCCAGCAGCCAAUGGAUAUCAAGGCAUGUAACAGCCAAUGGAUAUCAAGGCAUGUAACAGCCAACAGCCAACAACCAAGUGGAGAAGACAAGCUAGCUUGCAUUUUUAGCUAGACACAUUACAAGUAUGAGGAUUCUGAGAGGAUGUGUGCUGGGGACUGAGGGAGAAAGUUGGUUUAAUGUAGGCUACAGAGCAAACGUUGGUUAACCCUAGGGGAACGUUGUUAACCACAGGAAACGCCCUGGUAACCACAGAAUGGGGAUAUUAAGGAACCAGGGAGAGAUAUGUGAGACCUGCUAGCUGCCUAGCUAUAAACUAGCUGUGGAAACUCCAGCCACACGGAAAACUAGUAUCGAACUGUGAGCAGAGAGACGUGUGAUGACUGGAGGAACGCGGACGCCAGUUGCCAUGAGUUACUGAGAGCAGAACUGCGACUGCUUCCUCUCAGCGCCAAGAUGGAGGCCUUUAUCUACCAAAAGAAACCUGGAGUAGCUUGUUCCUGCAGUCUGGGCGUGUCCACCACCGUGACCGUUCCUAGAAGCCACACCUUUCACUCCUUAUCCAAUCAGAGCCCUGACCACGCCCAGGAGGAGGAGGAAGGGUCGCCACGGCAACGGCGCAUCACAGUUGCAUCAUUCAUGCCACAGUCUAAUGACCAGAAUGGAAACUUCCCAGAGAAGAAUUCGGACAGACAGAGGGGUAAACCUCUAGGAGAGUUGAACACAGAAGAAGUCUGCCGGUGGUUCAGCACUAUCGGCCUUCAGAAGAGACUCCAGUUCAUCAGAGAGGCAGAGCUAUGUGGGGCUGAUAUAGCCUCCAUAGACCUCAACACCCUCGAUGUCCUUCACAUCUCCAGCCUGCAGGAGAGAGAGCAGCUUUUGUCAGCCGUCUACAGAGAACUGCACCCACCAUCCACAACCUCACAGAGACUGGACUUACUACUGGAAACCUUGGGUCCUAAUAACGUAGAGAAAUUCACAGCAGCAUUAGUGAAUAUGAGCAAAUCGAAGUCCUCUCCGCAAAUAAGCUGCCUCAACAUUAAUCCAAUGAAUUCCUUCAAGUUCAACCCUAACCCUUUGGUCCAGAGGAACUCUCAGCUGAUGGAGACCACCAUAAACGCGUCGGAGCAGAUUGUGCACCUGCGUACCCCCAGAGAGACCACAGUGGGGAAGGUGAUGGAGUCGUGUUUUACGAUGCUGGGAAUGACUGAUAAUAAGGACCUCUUCAGCCUCACCGACAAACGAGGUUCUUCAGAGGAGCUGAUACCAGACCAACAUAUAACAUAUAACAAAAAGGAGGAGACAUCUAAAAGCGUAAGCGAGGCCCCACCCACUGGUGUUAACGGUUACCGUGACAACGGACAUGUCAGUCAGAACCACCAGAUGCAGCCUGUCAGCUCACGGCCGAUACAGGUGGUCAGCCAGCCAGGUAAAGAGGAAAAGAUCCGGGAGCUCAAACAACAGGUGGACUCUCUACAAAACGUCAUCCUACAGGUGCAGGAGAUCCACCACGGCCUGGUAGCAUUCUGUUCGGAGCUGAAGAGCAUGGAUGUAGAGGUGGACACGUCAGGGCUGAGCUUCCCUGAGCUGGAGCAGCGCCUGGGGCUGGCUAUGGGACUGCUCAGGGACAAGAGACACAGUCUACAGAGCCUCAGAGAGACCAUGAGAGAUACAGGCGCUCACAGGAACAAGCCGUCAGAGGUUUGUCUUCUGGAUACGAUGAAGUUGAACUGUCAGGUGUUUAAAGAAGAGAUCUCCCUGGUUUACCUCAACAGACAGGUGUCACAUCUACAGACAGCUCUACAAGACAGCCUAGUAAAGGCUUGUGGAGGUGAAUGGGGUACUGGUGAUGGGGUACAGUGAAGAGGAGCUGAGCCCCCUACUCCGCCAGGGACCAAGUGCUCGGAUAGUCAUCCUGAGUAGACCUCCUCCUCCUCCUCCUCCCAGCCCAAGAGACAGAAGACCCCUUCCUCUUUGAAGCAACAUCCUCCAUUAGUAUACACCUAGUACCACCAGGCAAUCCCAUCAAGCAUGACAUUGACACCCAAUAGACACCAGGCUGAUCCCAUCUACCAAGAGACUGACACCCUAUUGACCACCAGGCUGAUCCCAUCUACCAUGAGUUUUGACACCCCAUAGACACCAGCACAAUGAGCAUCAGGAACCUGAGGUCUCCACUGAGCCCCUCUCUACUCUACCAGCACAAUGAGCAUCAGGAACCUGAGGUCUCCACUGAGCUCCUCUCUACUCUAGAGACUGAGGCCCCUGGUCCAUAGUAAAAUACACGUGCAGAUCUGCUAGUAACAAGAAGGACUCUGAAUCCACUAGAGAUCACAGUGUUAAUGUUUGUGAACUGCCUUGCUGAACGUACCUCAG
rnacentral:lncRNA from 1 species